AUUGAACGCUGGCGGCAUGCUUUACACAUGCAAGUCGAACGGUAACAGGCCGCAAGGUGCUGACGAGUGGCGAACGGGUGAGUAAUGCAUCGGAACGUGCCCAGUCGUGGGGGAUAACGCAGCGAAAGCUGCGCUAAUACCGCAUACGAUCUAUGGAUGAAAGCGGGGGACCGUGAGGCCUCGCGCGAUUGGAGCGGCCGAUGUCAGAUUAGGUAGUUGGUGGGGUAAAGGCUCACCAAGCCAACGAUCUGUAGCUGGUCUGAGAGGACGACCAGCCACACUGGGACUGAGACACGGCCCAGACUCCUACGGGAGGCAGCAGUGGGGAGUUUUGGACAAUGGGCGCAAGCCUGAUCCAGCGAUGCCGCGUGCAGGAAGAAGGCCUUCGGGUUGUAAACUGCUUUUGUACGGAACGAAACGGUCCUGGUUAAUACCUGGGGCUAAUGACGGUACCGUAAGAAUAAGCACCGGCUAACUACGUGCCAGCCGCCGCCGUAACAC
rnacentral:rRNA from 1 species